UACGUAGGGUGCAAGCGUUGUCCGGAAUUACUGGGCGUAAAGAGUUCGUAGGCGGUUUGUCGCGUCGUUUGUGAAAACCAGCAGCUCAACUGCUGGCUUGCAGGCGAUACGGGCAGACUUGAGUACUGCAGGGGAGACUGGAAUUCCUGGUGUAGCGGUGAAAUGCGCAGAUAUCGGGAGGAACACCAGUAGCGAAGGCGGCACUCUGGGCCGUGACUGACGCUGAGGAGCGAAAGCGUGGGUAGCAAACAGG
rnacentral:rRNA from 1 species